rnacentral:rRNA from 1 species
GACGAACGCUGGCGGCGUGCCUAAUACAUGCAAGUAGAACGCUGAAGAGAGGAGCUUGCUCUUCUUGGAUGAGUUGCGAACGGGUGAGUAACGCGUAGGUAACCUGCCUUGUAGCGGGGGAUAACUAUUGGAAACGAUAGCUAAUACCGCAUAACAAUGGAUGACACAUGUCAUUUAUUUGAAAGGGGCAAUUGCUCCACUACAAGAUGGACCUGCGUUGUAUUAGCUAGUAGGUGAGGUAAUGGCUCACCUAGGCGACGAUACAUAGCCGACCUGAGAGGGUGAUCGGCCACACCGGGACUGAGACACGGCCCAGACUCCUACGGGAGGCAGCAGUAGGGAAUCUUCGGCAAUGGGGGCAACCCUGACCGAGCAACGCCGCGUGAGUGAAGAAGGUUUUCGGAUCGUAAAGCUCUGUUGUAAGUCAAGAACGGGUGUGAGAGUGGAAAGUUCACACUGUGACGGUAGCUUACCAGAAAGGGACGGCUAACUACGUGCCAGCAGCCGCGGUAAUACGUAGGUCCCGAGCGUUGUCCGGAUUUAUUGGGCGUAAAGCGAGCGCGGGCGGUUUGAUAAGUCUGAAGUUAAAGGCUGUGGCUCAACCAUAGUUCGCUUUGGAAACUGUCAAACUUGAGUGCAGAAGGGGAGAGUGGAAUUCCAUGUGUAGCGGUGAAAUGCGUAGAUAUAUGGAGGAACACCGGUGGCGAAAGCGGCUCUCUGGUCUGUAACUGACGCUGAGGCUCGAAAGCGUGGGGAGCGAACAGGAUUAGAUACCCUGGUAGUCCACGCCGUAAACGAUGAGUGCUAGGUGUUGGAUCCUUUCCGGGAUUCAGUGCCGCAGCUAACGCAUUAAGCACUCCGCCUGGGGAGUACGACCGCAAGGUUGAAACUCAAAGGAAUUGACGGGGGCCCGCACAAGCGGUGGAGCAUGUGGUUUAAUUCGAAGCAACGCGAAGAACCUUACCAGGUCUUGACAUCCCGAUGCUAUUUCUAGAGAUAGAAAGUUACUUCGGUACAUCGGUGACAGGUGGUGCAUGGUUGUCGUCAGCUCGUGUCGUGAGAUGUUGGGUUAAGUCCCGCAACGAGCGCAACCCCUAUUGUUAGUUGCCAUCAUUCAGUUGGGCACUCUAGCGAGACUGCCGGUAAUAAACCGGAGGAAGGUGGGGAUGACGUCAAAUCAUCAUGCCCCUUAUGACCUGGGCUACACACGUGCUACAAUGGUUGGUACAACGAGUUGCGAGUCGGUGACGGCGAGCUAAUCUCUUAAAGCCAAUCUCAGUUCGGAUUGUAGGCUGCAACUCGCCUACAUGAAGUCGGAAUCGCUAGUAAUCGCGGAUCAGCACGCCGCGGUGAAUACGUUCCCGGGCCU